GAGGGACUACUUAUCAUUAUUCAAAUUUCGAACAACACACGAAACCUGUUGUUCUAACUUUAAGUGAAAAAUGGAGGUCUCUUUAUUAGUCAAGAUCAAACGAUGCAAAACUUUGGGGGUGUUUGGCUCUAGGGGAGCUAAACUUUAGCCCUGUCACAUCGUCGGAUGUUUACAUACUAAUUAGGAGUAUUAACAUAGUCUAAUUACAAAACUAAUUACACAGAUGGUGGUUAAUUCGUAAGACGAAUCUAUUAAGCCUAAUUAGUCCAUGAUUUGACAAUGUGGUGCUACA
rnacentral:lncRNA from 1 species